CCCUUAGAUGUUCUGGGCCGCACGCGCGCUACACUGAUGCAUUCAACGAGUCUAAAACCUGCUCUGAUAGGGGUGGGUAAUCUUUUGAAUGUGCAUCGUGAUUGGGAUAGAUGAUUGCAAUUUUUCAUCUUCAACGAGGAAUGCCUAGUAAACGCAAGUCAUCAGCUUGCAUUGAUUACGUCCCUGCCCUUUGUACACACCGCCCGUCGCUCCUACCGAUUGAAUGAUCCGAUGAAUAUCAUGGAUUGAGGAUGCAAGUAGGUUCGCCUAUCUUCAUCUUCGAGAAGUGAAGUAAAUCUUAUCAUUUAGAGGAAGGAGAAGUCGUAACAA
rnacentral:rRNA from 1 species